rnacentral:rRNA from 1 species
UGGGGGAUAUUGCACAAUGGAGGAAACUCUGAUGCAGCAACGCCGCGUGAGGGAAGAAGGUCUUCGGAUUGUAAACCUCAGUAGUCAGGGACGAAAGAAAUGACGGUACCUGAAGAGUAAGCUCCGGCUAACUACGUGCCAGCAGCCGCGGUAAUACGUAGGGAGCGAGCGUUGUCCGGAUUUACUGGGUGUAAAGGGUGCGUAGGCGGGAUAGCAAGUCAGACGUGAAAUACCGAGGCUUAACUUCGGGGCUGCGUUUGAAACUGUUAUUCUUGAGUGAAGUAGAGGCAGGCGGAAUUCCUAGUGUAGCGGUGAAAUGCGUAGAUAUUAGGAGGAACACCAGUGGCGAAGGCGGCCUGCUGGGCUUUAACUGACGCUGAGGCACGAAAGCAUGGGGAGCAAACA